GUGAAUCAUCAAAUCUUUGAACGCAAAUUGCACUCUCUUCGGAGAGUAUGCCUGUUUGAGGGUCAGUAUUAAUAAAAAUCGGUGUGUUGCUUCUUUGUGACGCUCCGGAGUUUGGGUCAUCUUAAUAUCCUUUAGGUUUUAAGAGGCUUAAAAUUGACUUUUUUUGUGCAUUUUAGAUGUACAUAAAUUCUUUUUUAUAUUUCUCUCUCUUUAUUCACAAUAUUCUAUUAUAUGACCC
rnacentral:misc_RNA from 1 species